AUGUUCAUUACAAAAUGUACAAGAGGUUUAGGCCUUACAUUACGCACAAAGGAAAAAGGGGAUAAAUCUAAAGCUAAGCUCAUGCCAAACUUCCUUUCAAAUUGUUCAUGCUCUAAUCCUAAUCACUAUGACAAAGGCUCCAAAGAUCUUCAUGCUAAGUUCCACUUGCCAUUUCUUUUGCUCCGUUUUCAAGCUAUCUUUAUGACUGAACUCUACUCCAAUUCACUAUAUGUCUUCAUUAUCCCUCCAAGAGAUCCAACUCUUUCAAUCAUGUACCAUGAAACAUCAAUGCAGCCAUGA